UACGGAGGUGGCAAGCGUUGUUCGGAAUUACUGGGCGUAAAGGGCGCGUAGGCGGCCUUGUCAGUCAGACGUGAAAUCCCCAGGCUUAACCUGGGAACUGCGUCUGAUACUACAAGGCUGGAGUUCGGGAGAGGAAUGUGGAAUUCCAGGUGUAGCGGUGAAAUGCGUAGAUAUCUGGAGGAACACCGGUGGCGAAGGCGGCAUUCUGGACCGAAACUGACGCUGAUGCGCGAAAGCCAGGGGAGCAAACGGG
rnacentral:rRNA from 1 species